AUUUCAGGAGCCCCAGAUUGAAGAGCGAGUAGAGCUCCGCAGCGUUAGAGUUCGACUGUUCUACCUUGUUUGAAGGGAGACCCUGAGUGACCGGCCGGUCGUGACCGCCGUUGAGUUUACUAAGCCACCCCGUUAGGAGGGUAAGCAAUGUAUUAGGAUCAAAAUUGUUUUGAUUAUGGGAUCCUAGAUGUAUUUUGAAAUAUUUUGUAAGAAUGUAAGUAGAUACAAUAUUUUGGGAAUGUAGAUAACUCUGGUAUUAUGCUUCUGGUAUUAUGCUUUAUGGAUGGAUAAUUUAGAUUUU